rnacentral:rRNA from 1 species
UACGGGGGGAGCAAGCGUUGUUCGGAUUUACUGGGCGUAAAGGGCGCGUAGGCGGCGUGACAAGUCACUUGUGAAAUCUCCGGGCUUAACCCGGAGCGGCCAAGUGAUACUGUCGUGCUAGAGUGCGGAAGGGGCUACUGGAAUUCUCGGUGUAGCGGUGAAAUGCGUAGAUAUCGAGAGGAACACCUGCGGCGAAGGCGGGUAGCUGGGCCGACACGUGACGCUGAGGCGCGAAAGCCAGGGAGGCGAACGG